UCGAGGAGAAAGAUGAAAAGAAGGAUGAGGAGAUGAUCAAACAGGAAGGGAAAACUAGAGUCACCAAUAUAUGAGAACAAGGUCGUGUCUAUGUUAGUGACUCUAGUUUUCCACUCCUGUUUGAUCAUUUCCUCAUUCUUUCUUCUUCUUUUCUUCGAA
rnacentral:pre_miRNA from 1 species